GGAUACUUUUCUAUGUAAGGCUUUGAAAUACCAGAGCUGGUUUAGGCAAUUCUUCAGCUGAGGACUGGGGUGUUUUUUGGCCCCGGCAGCCUCCUGGGAAGGUUUUGUAAGGACAGCUGUGGAAUGCGCUCUGUUUACCAACUUCUUGCCAUGGAAAACAAAGCUUUGAUUCCUGGGCCAUGGAAAACUUCUGCCGAUGAAUCCCCACCCCCUCUCUGGGGAGGAAAGCACAACAAACACUAAUGCCUCUUCGCCCUUUUAUGCCUGGCGUAUUAAUCACCGAGCAGGGCUCGCCGCGUCCCGCUCAGCCUGCGUUUGCCCUCUAACUACGGGGAGGAGUUCUGCUUUGUCUAUAUAAAGCUGCACUUUGCUGAACACCGUAACAGAACCAAACUUAGAGACUCCAUCACCCAUCCUCUGUGGGGAGAGCAGAGCAGCAGCAGCCAUGUUUGGGAUUGGGAAGAAGCUCGCCGAGGAAGCAACGCAACAGGCCGAGAGCGCUGCGCAGGCGGCAGUUAACACGGUGGGGCAGACUGUGCAGCAAGCAGUGGAGCAGGCCAAGGAUGCUGGUCAGAAAGCUCUCGAUGAGGUCUACAAGGUCGCUGAAACCGGUGAGAAAGCUGUAAAAAAUGUAGCAAAUCAAGCAACUGCCUGGGGCAAAAGCUUCGGACAAUGAAGAUAACGUAACACCACUGAAUGUAUUCUUAAAUAAAUAAAACCCCUACAGU
rnacentral:lncRNA from 7 species